CCUACGGGUGGCAGCAGUCGAGAAUCAUUCACAAUGGGGGAAACCCUGAUGGUGCGACGCCGCGUGGGGGAAUGAAGGUCUUCGGAUUGUAAACCCCUGUCAUGUGGGAGCAAAUUAAAAAGAUAGUACCACAAGAGGAAGAGACGGCUAACUCUGUGCCAGCAGCCGCGGUAAUACAGAGGUCUCAAGCGUUGUUCGGAAUCACUGGGCGUAAGGCGUGCGUAGGCUGUUUCGUAAGUCGUGUGUGAAAGGCGCGGGCUCAACCCGCGGACGGCACAUGAUUCUGCGAGACUAGAGUAAUGGAGGGGGAACCGGAAUUCUCGGUGUAGCAGUGAAAUGCGUAGAUAUCGAGAGGAACACUCGUGGCGAAGGCGGGUUCCUGGACAUUAACUGACGCUGAGGCACGAAGGCCAGGGGAGCGAAAGGGAUUAGAUACCCCUGUAGUC
rnacentral:rRNA from 1 species